rnacentral:rRNA from 1 species
GUUUUACGUCCCCUGCCCUUUGUACACACCGCCCGUCGCUACUACCGAUUGAUGGCUCAGUGAGGCGUCCGGACUGGCCCAGAGAGGCGGGCAACUGCCACUCAGGGCCGGAAAGCUCUCCAAACUCGGUCAUUUAGAGGAAGUAAAAGUCGUAACAAGGUCUCCGUUGGUGAACCAGCGGAGGGAUCAUUA